rnacentral:piRNA from 1 species
UUAAAAUUAUAAUUAACAUUU